GAAGGUAUAGCUUAGUGAUAGAGUGUGUGCUUAGCAUGCAAGAGGUCCUGGGUUCAAUCGCCAAUACUUCCA
rnacentral:tRNA from 1 species